rnacentral:rRNA from 1 species
UACGUAGGGGGCAAGCGUUGUCCGGAUUUAUUGGGCGUAAAGAGCGUGUAGGCGGCCAUACAGGUCCGUUGUGAAAACUGGAGGCUUAACCUCCAGACGUCGAUGGAAACCGUAUGGCUAGAGUCCGGAAGAGGAGAGUGGAAUUCCUGGUGUAGCGGUGAAAUGCGUAGAUAUCAGGAGGAACACCGGUGGCGAAGGCGGCCCUCUGGACGGUGACUGACGCUGAGACGCGAAGCGUGGGAGCAAACAGG